CACAGGGAGCCUGCGGCAGCCUCCCCACAGACUGACGCUCUGCCACAGCGCCUCCUCCACCUGCAGAGGCCACAGCAGCUGCAGACGUGCCUGGCGACACGACUAGGGACCUCAGCAACCUUCCCAGAGCCCAGGGGGGUGGGGCUAACUUCUGGGAGCUGGAAGAUUCCAAGCAGAGGAGGCAGGUUUGAGUGAGGAGGCCUGGUUGGAGGUGAAGGGCCGAGAGCCCGAGGGAGGAGGGGAGCAGGCCCACGGGGGAGCGGAGGAGGAAGCUGACAGAAUCAAACAUACUGUGGCCUGCAGAAGAUGGCAUUGUUCAUGCUCCCUGAAGCACAACAUGACUGAGAGCCAGAGCUUAGGCAAAGUCCCGGGCCAGGUGCCUGCUACCCAGGCCUGUGACGCUGGCCGGAUGUACCUGAGUUCCAGGACGUCAGCCUUGGGAAGGGACUGGAAGGAGGGAAGGAUACUAAAGGAGCUCCAGGAAAUGUCUGGGGGUGACGGAUGUGUUCAGUAUGUCGACUGUGGUGACGGCACAGGUGUACACAUAUGUCAAAGCUUAUCAAAUUGUACACUUUCAGUAUGUCUAGUUUAGUCAGUUAUAUCUCCAUAAAGCUGUUAAAAAUCACAAAACAGUGUGGUGGUCAUUUUUAUUACAUACACGUGUUGACAGAAGAAAGACUGGAAGGAUCUUCCCCCCAAAUGUUAAUAGCGGUUAGUUCUGGGCUUUGGGAUUACAGAGGAUUUUAAUUUUCCUCUUUGUGUUUUUCUUUACUUUUAAAAUUUUCCAAAAUAAACAUGUUUGACUUUUGUAAUCAGAAAAAACAAAAAGUGUUUCCUUCAAAAUAAGAGCAAUCUCUAAGUCGCAGGGAUCUUGCGAGGCCGGGCCACUGGGGAGCCGAAGGGCUCCGGGUGUGGCAGGUCCCCUGCAGGAGGAGCUGAGUAACCUGCACGACCGGCCUCAGCCUGGAAAAGCCGGCCCUGGGUCAAAUCUUAGCUAAUUGUGUGCUGAGUGGCCUUGAGCUAGGUACUUGCCGGUUUGGUGCCUCAGUUUCCCCAGUUAUAAUAUGGAGAUGAUGGUAGAAGCCUCCGAAGGUGGCUGAGAGAUUCGGUGAGCCCACACAGGGGCUCUUAGCGUGCCCACCGCACAGUAGACACUGGACCCGGGCGUAACCACCCACGCCCUCCGUGCCCCCCAUGCCAGGCCAAUCUUGGGCUGGGCCUCCCCUGCAGGAGUCUGGAUGCUAUCCUCAACUGCCUCAUCUGGUGCCCUGGGCAGCUUGCUGAACUUCCCUGAGUCUGUUUCCUCAUCUGUCUGUGGAGUGAUGCCUCCAGCCCACCUGGCUCGUGCGGGAAUAUGCUUCCUAACGUGUUCAGUAAGCCUCACACGACAGAGGUGAGGCCACGUUAUCCUCAGUUGGCACCAGUCCCCGGGGAAGAGGAAACCCCCUGACGCCCCACCCUCCACGAGAGGGUGGGCUCCAGCCCCUGGGGAUGGUCACACACUUCACUGUGACCACCCUUCAAGUCUUACUGAAGUCUCCUGCGGGCUGGUCAUUUCAGCUUUCUCAAGCAAGCUCCCUCUCCCGCCCCUCAGGGGGCCGCAAGUUCCUCGAGGCCAAGGCCACCUCAUGCAUCUUUCGGUGUCUCUCCCUUUCCUUUUCACCUCACAAAUCCACGCCCAGCGUGGAGCUGGCUCGUCAUGCGCUCA